CGGGAUGUAGCGCAGCCUGGUAGCGCACUCGCUUCGGGGGUGAGGGGUCGGAGGUUCAAAUCCUCUCAUCCCGACCA
rnacentral:tRNA from 2 species